AUACUUACCUGGUGCAGAGGGCACCCUGAUCAUCAAGGGGGUCCCUCCAGGGCGAGGCCAUUCCAUUGCACUCCGGAUAGGCUGAACCCUGCGAUCGCCCCAAAUGCGGGCGACUCGGGCACGUAAUUUUUUAGUGUGGGGGUCUGCGUUCGCGCUAACCCCUG
rfam:Crassostrea gigas strain 05x7-T-G4-1.051#20 contig7226, whole genome shotgun sequence.